rnacentral:rRNA from 1 species
CCCUUAGAUGUUCUGGGCCGCACGCGUGCUACACUGAUGCAUUCAACGAGUCUAAAACCUGGUCUGAUAGGGCUGGGUAAUCUUUUGAAAGUGCAUCGUGAUUGGGAUAGAUGAUUGCAAUUCUUCAUCUUCAACGAGGAAUGCCUAGUAAACGCAAGUCAUCAGCUUGCAUUGAUUACGUCCCUGCCCCUUGUACACACCGCCCGUCGCUCCUACCGAUUGAAUGAUCCGAUGAAUACCAUGGAUUGAGAGUACGAAUAGGUUCGCUUAUUUCUGCUGCUCGAGAAGUGGAGUAAAUCUUAUCAUUUAGAGGAAGGAGAAGUCGUAACA